AGAGUUUGAUCCUGGCUCAGGAUGAACGCUGGCGGCGUGCUUAACACAUGCAAGUCGAACGGGAAACCUUUUAUUGAAGCUUCGGCAGAUUUAGAUUGUUUCUAGUGGCGGACGGGUGAGUAACGCGUGGGUAACCUGCCUUAUACAGGGGGAUAACAGUCAGAAAUGACUGCUAAUACCGCAUAAGCGCACAGAGUUGCAUGGCUCAGCGUGAAAAACUCCGGUGGUAUGAGAUGGACCCGCGUCUGAUUAGGUAGUUGGUGGGGUAACGGCCCACCAAGGCGACGAUCCAUAGCCGACCUGAGAGGGUGACCGGCCACAUUGGGACUGAGACACGGCCCAAACUCCUACGGGAGGCAGCAGUGGGGAAUAUUGCACAAUGGGCGAAAGCCUGAUGCAGCGACGCCGCGUGAAGGAAGAAGUAUCUCGGUAUGUAAACUUCUAUCAGCAGGGAAGAAAAUGACGGUACCUGACUAAGAAGCCCCGGCUAACUACGUGCCAGCAGCCGCGGUAAUACGUAGGGGGCAAGCGUUAUCCGGAUUUACUGGGUGUAAAGGGAGCGUAGACGGAUGGACAAGUCUGAUGUGAAAGGCUGGGGCUCAACCCCGGGACUGCAUUGGAAACUGCCCGUCUUGAGUGCCGGAGAGGUAAGCGGAAUUCCUAGUGUAGCGGUGAAAUGCGUAGAUAUUAGGAGGAACACCAGUGGCGAAGGCGGCUUACUGGACGGUAACUGACGUUGAGGCUCGAAAGCGUGGGGAGCAAACAGAGGUAGAUACCCUGGUAGUCCACGCCGUAAAUCGAUGAAUACUAGGUGUCGGGGAGCAAAGCUCUUUGGUGCCGUGGCAAACGCAGUAAAGUAUUCCUCCCUGGGGAGUACGUUCGCAAGAAUGAAACUCAAAGGAAUUGACGGGGUCCCGCACAAGCGGUGGAGCAUGUGGUUUAAUUCGAAGCAACGCGAAGAACCUUACCAAGUCCUGACAUCCCGAUGACAGAGUAUGUAAUGUACUUUCCCUUCGGAGCAUCGGUGACAGGUGGUGCAUGGUUGUCGUCAGCUCGUGUCGUGAGAUGUUGGGUUAAGUCCCGCAACGAGCGCAACCCCUGUUCUUAGUAGCCAGCGGUUCGGCCGGGCACUCUAGGGAGACUGCCAGGGAUAACCUGGAGGAAGGCGGGGAUGACGUCAAAUCAUCAUGCCCCUUAUGACUUGGGCUACGCACGUGCCACAAUGGCGUAAACAAAGGGAAGCGGAGCCGUGAGGCCGAGCAAAUCUCAAAAAUAACGUCUCAGUUCGGACUGUAGUCUGCAACCCGACUACACGAAGCUGGAAUCGCUAGUAAUCGCAGAUCAGAAUGCUGCGGUGAAUACGUUCUCCGGGUCUUGCACACACCGCCCGUCA
rnacentral:rRNA from 1 species